UACCAGCCAGGACCAUCUUCAGUAAACCAAGAUGGCUACACAUCCCACUUGUACUCCAGCUGAGGAGAGGGGAGGGAGGGAGAAAAACUCCCCUGACUGUUUGUACAGCUUUUGUCAAAAGAGCAUAAUCCGCAGAACCCUCCAGCUCCAAGCCUGGGGAACUGGUUAGUGUAGAAACAUCUCUUCGCUUGGUGAGCUGCAUUCUUCCUCGGCUUCUUCAGCUUGGGCACUGGCCUGGGGAUGGGCAGAGGCCAUGCUGUCCUGAAGAUGGUAGGAACGAGACCUCCCUCCCCUGCUGUAAUGUGCCUUUUCUUUUCAUUUUCUUGGUGCCUUCCCUGAGGGAACUGAAAGGUGUGGAAAUGGAGUGCUGAGACUGUCCCGACAUCAUGCUCUGUCCUCCAUCAACCAGGAUGGCUGCGUGGGGUUUGAGCCCUGGAGUUGGGAGAUGUAAACUUGGGGAAGGAAGAGCUCCUGAAGGAGGAUGGGGCCAAAAGACCAGAACUUCCCACAGAGAUGCUCAGAGAGGUCCCAGCCACUGCUCUGCCUUCCUUCCAGCUCCAGCCUCUGGAGAGCAGGAAGGUGGGCUUCUCCUUUACAUGCAGGGCAGAAGCAUGCAGAUUUAUAAAUCCAAAGAGACAGCCGGCAUUCUGAAGCAAAACCUCCACCUAAUUAUCCUCCCGUCCUAUGGUCCCCAAUGGACCCCACAGGUGGAUGGCUUACGACAAGUUACAGCAACAGCAGUCGGCUCAAACACCAGACCCAUCUGCCAAGCCUCCUAACAGGUGUGCCCAUCCACGUAGAUGUAGAAGGCGCCCUUGGUGGGGGCGCCGGGAUAGAGACCCUCGGACCUCCUGGCACAGAAUCCACUAUCACCCGCACUCCCACCCCAGGAGCCACAGUGGUGAUGGGGGCUGAGCUGGUACUCUGGUAAAGGUGGGUGCUCUGCAACCUGAAGAGAGUAAGAAAAGGGCCCCUGUGGGUUCUGGAAUGGACUCCUUUCCCAGGACAAAUGUGUCUGGAGGGUCACUGGGGGCUCCUCUCAGCCAAGGGAACAUCCUACCCGAACCAGAGAUUAAGGGCUCUGGGCCUGAAUCUGUGCUAUCCAAGUUCACAGCCCAGCUCUGCCACAAGCUGUGUGACCAUGAACAAAUCACUAACUUCACUGUGCCUCAGUUUCCUCCCUUUAAUGAUGGGAUAAUAGUACUAUCUCUUAGGGGCACCUGGGUAGCUCAGU